rnacentral:rRNA from 1 species
CAGAGGGUGCAAGCGUUAAUCGGAUUUACUGGGCGUAAAGCGUGUGUAGGUGGCUACCUAAGUCGAUUGUGAAAUCCCUGGGCUCAACCUGGGAAUUGCAGUCGAUACUGGGCAGCUCGAGUUCGGUAGAGGGUGACGGAAUUCCCGGUGUAGCGGUGAAAUGCGUAGAUAUCGGGAGGAACAUCGAUGGCGAAGGCAAUCACCUGGGCCUGAACUGACACUGAGACACGAAAGCGUGGGUAGCAAACAGGAUUAGAUACCCUGGUAGUCCACGCUGUAAACGAUGGGAACCUGACGUCGGUUUGCUCUGCGAAUCGGUGUCGUAGCUAACGCGCUAAGUUCCCCGCCUGGGGAGUACGGCCGCAAGGUUG